GUCCCUGGGGUGUGAGGGCACGUUAGAUUUUCGUUCUAAAGGAAUAAAUGUGUGUAUUUAUUGGGGAUA
rnacentral:tRNA from 1 species